GGCCAACCGGUUUUUCGGAAUUCUGGGCGUAAAGCGCACGCAGGCGGUUUGUUAGUCAGAUGUGAAAUCCCCGGGCUCAACCUGGGAACUGCAUCUGAUACUGGCAAGCUUGAGUCUCGUAGAGGGGGGUAGAAUUCCAGGUGUAGCGGUGAAAUGCGUAGAGAUCUGGAGGAAUACCGGUGGCGAAGGCGGCCCCCUGGACGAAGACUGACGCUCAGGUGCGAAAGCGUGGGGAGCAAACAGGAUUAGAUACCCUGGUAGUCCACGCCGUAAACGAUGUCGACUUGGAGGUUGUGCCCUUGAGGCGUGGCUUCCGGAGCUAACGCGUUAAGUCGACCGCCUGGGGAGUACGGCCGCAAGGUUAAAACUCAAAUGAAUUGACGGGGGCCCGCACAAGCGGUGGAGCAUGUGGUUUAAUUCGAUGCAACGCGAAGAACCUUACCUGGUCUUGAC
rnacentral:rRNA from 1 species